AGGAGAUUCUGCCGUUAGCCAAAGAGAUGUUGCUCAAGGCUUUCGUCUUUCUUGCUUUUAUUGUAUUCAAAGAGCACAUUGUGGUUGGAUGUGGUUGGCACUAAAGCUAAAACAGCUGUCCAGAAUCUCUCUGCUUGUUUUUGUGUUCAUCUCUGCACUCCGUUACACAGGGCAGCUGGAGCAGCCAGUAGCUGAACAUCCGACCACUUGCUGAGAUCCAUCUUUCAUUUAUUUUAUCUUCUUGCCUGCGUCUACGUCUAAUGACGUGGUAGGCUGAAGAAAGAAAGUUGAGAAGGUUUGCUUGUUUCUAUGCCAUACUCCUGAGGCACCUCUUGUCUGAUUCAAUGAGUAGUCUGGGAACACACUUGAACUCAUGCCAUUUUUAUUACUGGGCAGAGAGAGCUUCUUCCCAAGCAGCUGGCAGGAGGAUGCUGUGGCUUUGCCAUCUGUUUCUGCACUGCCUGCUGGAAUUCUUCUCUCACUGGAUGUGCCAUCACCAUCUAAUCAAGACAUGGAAGUGGUUACUGUUAAAGAGGCUGUCAUGAAAAACUCUUCUGCCUGAAGUGUUGUCAGAAGCUGUAGCAAUGACUAUUCUUCAGCUGCUAAUUCUCAGUAUUUCUUCCAUACCUUUGUUGUCUUGGUUUAUGAUCUACUGUGUGUAACUGUGGAUCCACAUGUUCAGAUAAACUGUUGUGUAACACUUAGGUAGACCAUGGAAGCAUAAGAUAAUCUCCUAUUUUUUUAAUCCUUAUAACAGCUUCCUGAGGUAUACACAGUAGCUGGUUACCUCAUACACUAGAAAUGCAAAUGUGGAUCCCCCCCACAUCUCCCAGCAAUAAGCUUUCACAGAAACGUAGGCACUGUCAUAUUUUUCUGUGGGCCACAAAUGCUGAGACCUUGGGCAGCUAAAGGGAAAAAAUAAAAAAUAAAAAAAUAAAAAAAAAGUGAAUUUCCUUUCUUCCUCUCUACAGUUUAGACUGACCUACCUGCCAGCAGGUCAUUAGGUGAUGCUGAAUAUGCCCUCCAUGUAAUUUGCUCUUUCAUAAAAAUAAAGUAUGAACAG